CCUACGGGCGGCAGCAGUGGGGAAUAUUGCGCAAUGGGCGAAAGCCUGACGCAGCGACGCCGCGUGAGGGAUGAAGGUCUUCGGAUCGUAAACCUCUGUCAGCAGGGAAGAACGGUCACUGUGCUAAUCAGCAGUGAAUUGACGGUACCUGCAAAGGAAGCACCGGCUAACCCCGUACCAGAAGCCGCGGUAAUACGGAGGUUGCGAGCGUUAAUCGGAAUGACUGGGCGUAAGGCGCUCGUAGGCGGUAUGUCAAGUCAAGGGUGAAAUCCCCGCGCUCAACGUGGGAACUGCCUUUGAAACUGGCAAACUGGAGUGUGUGAGAGGAUAGUGGAAUUCCAGGUGUAGGAGUGAACUCCGUCGAUAUCUGGAGGAACAUCAGUGGCGAAGGCGACUAUCUGGCACAUAACUGACGCUGAGGAGCGAAAGCGUGGGUAGCAAACAGGAUUAGAUACCCUGGUAGUC
rnacentral:rRNA from 1 species